rnacentral:lncRNA from 1 species
UUUGCCCUAAAAACAACUAAUAUCACCAGCCCACAUAAUGGUUUUGUGCUGUUUUAGACCUUUUGCUCAAAUUGAGCCCUAAUGUUAUGUUUUUUUUCUUGGGAAUUGAGCCCAAACUAGAACUGAGCUUUUUUCUUGUAUGGCUUUUUACCUUCAACGUGAAAAAAAACAUCUUUCACUCUUACAAAUAUUAGUCCCACUCCAAUUGCCUUGAGAAAAUUGUAACACUUUUAUUUUAUGAAAAAAAAUAAAAAUAAAAAAACAAAAAUGACUGGACGUAUGAUGACAUAGCCAAACACAGAUGUUACUUUUUUAACCACAGACAACGCAAAAACCAACCAGUUAGUCUAGGGUAUCAUAAUUUCAUAAACCAACGACCAUGAUUUGUUUUUAUUCUUCUGAAACCACAUGUGCAGUCGAGAUCUUUUCCCAAAAAUAAGAUUGUAAGAAAAAAAACAUACAAUCAAAGAGACAGAGAAACAAACAAAGAGAUGAAAAAAACAAAGAGAGAAAAGAAAAAGGUAUAUGAUUAGGACGACACCACAACGCAUGCAGUGGCCACAUUAUAUUUAUUAUCAUAAAUAAGCUCUUUCUUUUCAAAAUAACAUAAAUAUAUAAUGCCAUUGCGAUCAUACACAAUACAACAAGACAAGCCACAAUGACAAUUCAAAUCACUUUCGUCGACACAUGAAGUUACUAGGACAUAGUUGUUUCCCCACCUGCCACUAGGCGACUAAGUUCAGAAAAAGGGCUUCGCACAGUACCUCUCUGGCUAUAGUAUUUACCACAAUUAAUGUAAUUUCACUUGUUUAUAUAUACUAAAUGUAGUAAAAUUAACACAUGUUUAUAUAGACUAAAUAGUAGUAGAUUUCCUUUUAAUACAAGCGAUAAUCUAAAUUACGAGAGAAGGGAGUUUCUUAAAUGAAAGUUCGAACCCGACACCAUUGAUUUGCAACUCAAGGCCCUUUCUCACUGACUAGACCUCGUUACCUAAAUAGUAAACGUACAUGCAUGGGAUGGUGGGUUUAUAUUAACCCAACAUUUAAUAAGUCAUAUCCAAAAACAUUAAAGCUUCUGAAAAUGCUUGUCAGAAAUUUUAAACUCUCUUGAUAUAAAAGCGUUUUUAGCAAAAGCGAGCGCUUUUAUGAGUAGAAAUGUUUGUUCUAAAUAGACCUUUAAUCAUAGGAGGCCUUGAGCACAUGCGGGCAAGGCAGCCGCCUAAGGCCUCCAAAUUGAAAGGGCCCCCAAUUUGUAUUAACCUCUAUAUAUACAUAUGCAUGUUACUUUUAAAAAAAAUUGUAUUAUAUUAAUAUUAUGUUAGACCCAAGUAUUGUUAAAAAAAAAGCCCAAUUAUUCAUUGUAAAACUAAAACGGAGAAAUUUAAUAAAUGGCUCAUUAUUAUUUAAACUUAUAGUAAGUCAAUUAACUUGGUGGAAUGACAAAAUUUAAUUUAAAAAAAGUUAACCUAGUUGAAUAAGGUAAGAAAUAAAAAACAAGGAUGAUCUAUUUAAGAGUUCCUAUAGCAGAGCAUUUAUCAGUUGAGUUGAGAUUUCGACAAAAGAAAAAAAAAAGCAAUGGAAGAAAGAUUGAAUGGCUUAGCUAUGUUAUCCAUUGAAAAAGACAUGGUAGAAAAUUUUGAUUAUGUAAGUGAUGUUUUGAUGCAUUUUAUAAAGUUGUUAUGUGAAUUACAUAUUGUUUGUUUCUUUUUUAGGUUAGAAUUGUGACUUUAAGUUCACGUAAUUUUUUUAAAAAUUAUCGGAAAAAAACCACAUAAAUAUAUAUAAAGGGUAGAAAGGUCAAAUUUUGGUGGUUCGCCUAGGACCGCCACUGCCCUUAAUCACUUAAAAAAUAAUAAAUAAUAAAUUACAUAGCUUCUCCUCUCAAUUUCUAAAGAAGAAUAAGUGAUAUAGAUCAUGUAUAGCGACGUCAUGAUAAGGUCAUUCAGAUUCUCUAUUAUAUUUUUGAUGCUAUUCUUUAUUGUAGAAUGAGUGAAUUGGCAAAUUAAAACUUUUAUUUGAAAAAAGAGACCACGAAAUAUAACAUAUAGCUAGAGUCAAUGCUCUUUCGUAUUAUUUAUUUUCAUAUAAUACCAUAAACAUAAAAGUUAAAUAUAUAUGUGCAUGGGACCGGAUAAUAAGACGAAGAUCUAUCGAUCUUAUUGCCUAUUGUAGUUUGGCUGCAUAUAUAUAUGAAGCUACCAACCAGAAGCCAAGGCAAGAUCGCUUUCGUCCAUGGCAUGGCAUGUUAUAACUAGUCGUCGGAAUCUUUGGAAUCCGAUAUCAUCUUUUGGAUCAAUUGGCUUGUCUCUUCCUCUGACAUUCGAUCUCCUUUGUUUUGAGACUGUGCAUACGCCUCGAAGAACUCCUUGUUCACUUUCUCCAGUUCAUUCCAAACUACACCAAAAUCAUUCAUAUCAUGAUCUACGUUUAAGUUGAUACAUAGAUUUUUAUACAAACCAUUUAGUUUGGCACAAGUUUGGAUCAUAUAGAGUAGAGGCUGCUUUUCUGAAGAUUCUUGAAGGCCAUAAUAUUUAGGCUCAAUCGUAUUUUCAAUCAAACUGAUUUCCAUGACAGAAGGUGUUCGAACCUAGUACCUCGGGUGUGAAUUGCAAACGGCCCACCACUGAGUUUAAUUUAGAUCAGCGCAAAGGGUUACUUGGGUUAUUAAAGUUGAACUAGAAUUAAUAUUCAUUGUUUGCCAUAAACUGCAUAAUGUUUUGCAGCUUUGUGUACGUGAUUUACAGAACAAAUUUUGAGUCACGGGAGAUUAUCAACCUCUAUAACCAUCACAGCCUCCUUAAGAACUUGUUUGGUGCAUAGCUUAAUUAUGUUUGCUUGCAUGCAUGUUAUGAUACAGAAAAUUAAGGGGGGAGAGAGAGAGAGAGAGAGAGAGAGAGAGAGAGAGAAGAGUGGCGGAAACACCUGUUUCUUCCAUAUUUUGGACCUUAGUUCCAUGGAACAAUAUACUAACUACUGCUGAAACAUGGAAGAAGAGAGAGAGAUAUGUAUAGAGCGAACUAACCGGUGGAGGUGAUGACAGGCUCGAUGUUUGCAUGCUUAGACAGAGCUUCCAUGCACUCUUCUUUACUCAUGUGGUAGAUCAGGCACUUCUCUAUCAGGUGCUGCACCUAUAUUUGUAAUGAAUUAGGGCACCCAUCGCCCCAUAUCGGAAUUAACACCAAUAACAGAAAUUGAAACAUAAACAUGUAUAUACAUACAAAUCAAGAGAUUAAUGAAUAUGGAAUUAACCAAAUCAACAAAAUGAGCACUGUACAUAUGUAUAUAGUUUUAUGAUAUCUCAGUUACCAUGUGUAUGUACGAUGCUGAUGAAGAAUCUCCCAUGAUCUUCUUAAUAAGUUAGCUACAACUCUAAAUAUUUUACAUACACAAGUAUAAAAAGACUGAGGAGGGAGACAAGAGAGUAUAAUAUGAUUGGGACUAAGUGAGAGGGAGUUGCUAUAGCAGCUACUGCAGUGUUUAAUAUAAGAUACACAAAGGCAAAGCAGGCCUGAGAGAUCACAGGGAGCUGAGAGUCAUAUAUAUAACAUAUGAUUGGGGAGAUAUAUAGAUCAACAGAUCCAAUAGCAAUAAGGAUCGAUGGAUGUAGAAUUUAAAAACACACACAAAAAACAGUGCUUAAAAGAAAAGGGCGAACGGGGGCCAGCAGUAGUGGGUUGGGGAAUUGGAGAGUCCCACGUGGGAGAUGGAUUAUAAUUGGUGGAGAGGGGAUUAGAGGAGAUUUGUAAAUGACCAUUUCCUUGUCUUGUAUCCAGUGACAUUAGGGCAGCCGCUUCUCCACGUGAUAAGUGGGUCCCAUCCCAAGUCAAAUCCCUUCAAACAGGACAAACCCACAAAGAACCUCAAGCAAGGUAUCUCAAAAACCUACAAAAAUAGAAUUCAUGUUCUUACAGUGAUCAAAUAUGCAGUGCAGGAGGGUGUAAGUGUCUUGUGAAUGUGAUUGUAUAGUAGCUAUCUAGUGUUCCAAUUCUCUCAUGCUUUCCUAUGUUUGCUAUGGUACAAAAUUUGCCCACAACCAUUACAUGUCAUAUGGUGAUUGGUGAUUCGUGAUUGAGCACCACAAUAAUAUCAACCUGCUGCCAAGAUAUAUCUGCCAAAUUAAACAAGCCAAUGUUCGUUUUUCAUUUUAAAAUCAACAUAAUUAAAUGAGAAAUUCGAACUCAAAAUCUCUUUUAAUAUUUAAAUAAAUAAAAAAAUAGCUAGAGCAAUAUUUCAAACUUUUGGCAGAUAUAUCUUGGCAGCAGGUUUGUGGACCGAAAUUCUGUGGGAUCACUAAAACUGUUUUAGAAUCUUAACUAUUUGGGGGCUGCUUUCUCUUUUAUAAUUUAAUCAUGUACAUCUUCUGGUUCAAUAUAUCAUUUAUGCUAAUUGCUCAAAUAUAUAUGUAUCGCAUCAAACGGCUCUUAAAGGAAUUGUUUUUGGGUUGAAACCUCAACUUUCUUUAUAGUAUCAGAGUGGAUUGUCUACGUGUGAAAGCUCAAUGGUCAUACGUGCUCCACGUCACUUAACAUGUGUUGUCCACGUGUUAUGCUUGAAAAUUCGCCAUACACAUUAAAAGGUUGAGAAAUCUAACAAUGAUUUAAGGAGUUGGAUUUCUCUCUAUUGCCAAUUGCUUUUGAAUGGACCUCAACUUCCUUGACAGUGCAACAUUUACAAUAUGCAUGAAUUAUUGUGAAUGGGGAUCUUUCAUCCAAUAAUGGAGCCAAGAAGCAAAUAUAUGGGUAGUACACUGCCGGAUUCUUUGGGCUGCAGUAAGUUCCUCCUUUCUUGCAGAUGGGACAAAUGUAUCAUCAUAUCUAUCUUAGAAAUUAAUUGUUCGAGUGUCUUUUUAUUUUUUUAUUUUAGUGGAAAUAACACAUAAAAAAAGGCCCUACCCCCUUGACUAAAUUAGAUAACUAUUUACCGUCAACCUUAUCACUGCCUUCCCUCUACAAGGAAUUGUACGCACAUUGGUGAUCAUACAACAUCUGGAUAUCCAUUAUGCACCACUAAAGUCUAAGCCCUAUAUCACUGGAUUUAUCCUUAUCUCUUUUUAUGCACCAUUGAAGACACACAUUGUGCAUGCAUCAUAAUGCUACCUGCGACUGCCACACAAAAAAAAAUCAGUAGCUAGUCCUCUUAUAUGUAUAUGCGUUUGAUUUUGAUUGACGAGAAAUGACUUUGUUGCGGAGAAUAAGGGUGGGCUAAGCCCAAACCAACAUAAAGCAACUACAGUUAGGUUCUGCUACAGAUGUGGUUAGUUGAAUCCCAUUAAAUUUGCAUACUGAAAUUGCCCCAAUUUGGUGGUUUGCCUAAAAACGGCCCAGUGGAUGUUUAUUUCCGGGACAAUUUUUAAUUUUGUUUUGUAUCCAUAUUCCCAAGGCAGUUAAACCCCAAAAUGAACUACCCUUUUGUUCUGCUCACAAUCUCUGCAUCUCUGCAUAGACUUUAAUUUCUAUGAAUUAUUUUGAUCUGUUUCUCACAGAUUUGAUGGCCAAAGCAUUGUAAACUUGCAAAGAUUGCCUCCUUCCUUUGCUUCCGAAGGGGUUGGGCCUAGCAAGAACUGAGAAUCGAACUAUUGUUGGUUUUUGGUAGGCUGCGGGGCCAUAAAGAGCUAAAAAAAUUCAUAGCUUGAAGAACUUAUAUAUGAAUAUAUGAUGGCCCUCAUUAUAUGUAACUGUCAAUCAAGGAUGCCAUUUAAAAAGAAGUCUAGAAGAAGAUAUUAACAUCAAAAUGUUGUUGGUUUGUGAUAUUUUAAUAGAAAAAUAUAUCACACACCAGCACCUUUUAAUCCAUCUUAUUUACAAACAGAAUAUUGGGCACCCAUCUCCAUGACUAUAUAUUAUAAUCUGCUAUAUAUAUUUAGAACUUUAUCUCGUAGCUGGUGCUAUCACCGUGACAUGCAAAUUCGGUAGAGAUUUAAUGGGUAGGGACUACACUACUGUUAUUCUUAUUUGUAGUUAUGAUAUGCACUAUGCAGGGGGAGGGCCACACCGUGAAACUUGAGGUGUCGGCAAGUGUUGUAUAAAUUGUCAUUGUGUGUGCCUUGCUUUGUCUUGCAACAGUGAUGUGUCAUGCUCAUGUGUGUGUAUAUAUUUAUAGAUUAUAUAAUUAAUAUGUAUUAUUAAUGUUAAUUAUGAAUCGGAAUUUAUUUUAAAUCAAGCAAAUAACAUGGGGAUCCUAGGAUCAUCCUACGUUGGAUUUUAUAUAUUCAGUACUCUUAUUUGCUUUUUUCUCUUUUUUCAUGAUAAUAUAGAAAGAAAAAAGACAUGAUAAAAUGGAUGGAAACUGGCUGGCAAGAACAAUGAUACAGUAAUUUGUCCCUAUACCACUUCUUUAAUUCUUCUCUUAACCAUACAUUAUACAUUAUGUAUAGUAUUAGAUUACGAAUAUGAAUUAACUAGUUCUUGAUUCGCAGUUUGAUAAUAUAUAAAAUAACCAAUCAUUUCCGAUGGCACGUUAAUUAUCAUCAGAAUGCUUGGAGGACUCCUGUAUCGUGCUUCGGAUCAGUUGGCUUGUCUCUUCCUCAGACAUUGCAUCUUGUUUGUUUGUUGAUUGUGCAUAAGCCUCGAAGAAUUCCUUGUUCUCUUUAGCUAACUCAUUCCAUACUGCACCAAAAUCACUCCAGAUCAUGACUAAGCUACUGUUCUAAAUUCGAAGUAACAUUAAUAUUAUCAUAUAGAUCGAUAUGAACCUCAAACAUUGCUUGAAUUCUUUGCUUGCAUGUAUAUAUAUAUGUGCGCGCAAGAGCGCUCGCCUGCGCUCGAACAGCAAAGGGCUUUAAGAAGAGAGAGUUGAAGAGAAAAACUAACCAGUGGAGGUAAUGACAGGUUUGAUGUUUGCAUGUUUAGAUAGGGCUUCCAUGCAGUCCUCUUUAGUCAUGUGGAAGAUCAGGCACGUUUCUAUCAGGUGGUGCACCUAUUUCAGGUUGGUCACCAAAAUCACACACAUUCAUUAUUAAGCAUAAACAUCAUAAAAAAAACAUAAACAGAAAUUAACAUAAAUUACAUAUAUAUAUAUAUAUAUUUAUCUCUCCAUCAAGAAAAUGAUGAAUAUUAUGCAACUAACCAAACAAUAAUAAGAGACUCGAGUUCUUUGGUAUCUCAGUUACCAAGUGUAUGUAUGUUGCAGAAGAAUCUGCCAUUAUCUCUCUGUAGAUGUGUAACUUUAGAAACAGAAGAAGACUGCAGGGAUUGGGGAGUGAGAGAGUGUUAAUAUAUAGACAUUGACAAAUAUGCACACACACACACCCUAAAAAAAAAAAAAAAAAAAACUUAGUGUACUUAAGAAUUAAUUAACAGUGUCACAUCAUAUAAUAUAACGAGCUAAUAAUUAAAAGCUCUAUUUGACUUUAAUUUCCGUGUUAAAAUAGGGCAUGUGGGAGAGAUGAGUCCACAUGGGGCGAUAGAUGAUAGUUGGUUGAGACCAAGGUCUUAAAUAUCUGGAGUUUUGGAAAUAUGGAAAUAUCAACAAAAAUAUCGGGAAAGUAUAGAUAUCGGUAAAAAUUGAAUCAAAACGACAGAAAUUGUGAUGAAAAUAUGAAAACUUCUAAUGAAACUUUAGAAGAUGUUCAUUUAGUCAAUUAUCUACUAAUUUGGGAAAAAAAAUUAAAGCAAAAUGUAUUGCAUAGUAAGUUUGAGUAAUUUAAGUUGAGUAUACUGCGAGUUGAUAAACAUUGUAACUUAGAAAAUGUGUAAUAUAUAUAUAUAUACAGUCCUGAUCUCUUGGACUACAGGGGUCCAAGAGAUUUGUGGUCACUCACCGUUAGAUGUAAAUUCAACAGUUCACUCACUCUUGCACUCCUUUUAAAAAACUUUUUUGAACCAUUGGAUUAAUAUCCAACGGUAGGUGACCACAAUCUCUUGGACUCCUGUGGUCCAAGAGAUCGGGACUGUAUAUAUAUAUAUAUAUAUAGCCAGAAAGGCUUAAAACUGAAACAUUCAAAAGCCUUUGCACUUGACUAAUAAAAAUACUUAAACAGAAGCCAUUUUAUUAAAUAGGGAUAAAAUUGUACGAUCACAAUUUUAUUUAUAUUAAAACAAAUAAAUUAUAGUGAUUAAAUAAAUAAAAUUAAAGGAAUUAAAUAGAAAAAAGAAAGAAAAUAAUAUUAGAAAUUUAAGUAAUUAAUAAGGAUAUGAAAUAGUAACUAAUUAAUUAAUCGAACUCUUUUCGGCAAGAUUUUAAGAAGCUAAUAAAUACCAUCUAUUUAGCAAGGUGCUACCAUGAGAAUGGCGUGGAGGUUUGAACCGCCUACACAGCAUGCACGAGUAACAAAUAAUGUUAUGACACAUGUGAUAAGAGAUCUUAGGAUCAGAUAAGUGAUUUACAAAUGACCAUAUAAUAGUAUUUCAAUCUUGCCCAUGUUAUCAAAAUAAGGUAUAGUUCCUUUUCCACAGUAAUGAGUGGGAGGGCCCACUCUAGAACUAAGAAAUUCUUGUACGCAUCCUAACACCUGUGUUAUUCUUGUUUGGGAUCAUUUAUUUUUAUUUUUUAUACAAGCGAUAUUUAAGAGUGGGGGAAUCGAACCUAAGAUCUCGAAUGCAGAAGGUCAAAGCGUAAUGUAACAAUGUCCCGAUCUCUUGGACCACAGGAGUCCAAGAGAUUUGUGGUCACUCACCAUUGGAUGUAAAUUCAACGGUUCACUCAAUCUUGAACUCCUUUUAAGAAACUUUUUUAAACCAUUAGAUUAAUAUCCAACGGUGAGUGACCACAAUCUCUUGAACUCCUGUGGUCCAAGAGAUCAGGACUGUUACUUACAGAAGCCUAGUGUAAAGUAUAAUUAGAAACGUUCAAAUUAUUCCCCCAUUGACGUGAACUUUUUAAUACUCAUUGAUUGAUUGCCACUAAAUAAGAUUCAUAGUUGGCUCAAAUGAAAGCAAAUAAUAACUGCUACAUGCCACUGCGUUCUAUUGCGUUCUCAAUUGACGGUGUACAUUUUGUCCAGCUACAAUCUUUUUUUGGUUCAAAUAUGACUUCGAAUAUACGGAGUAGAAGGCUCAGUCUUAUUUUGGGUACGUAUAUGCAACAAGGACCAAUAAUUGAGCCAAAAUGUAAUUGAUGCUACACGCUUCGUCCUACUUUCUGUAUCUUUCUCAUGCAUUUUGUCAUUUAAACUCUAGUCCCUCUCUUCCAAAAAAUCCUUCUAAAGCCGUUUUCAUUUUGAGGGGGGAGAAAACCACUGUUCUUCCUCCCUAUCUUAUCCUCUCAUUUUCAGAGACAAAAGAUUUUCCUUAUUUGUCUUCAUUUUGUUAUGAUUUUCCUCCAACCAUCACAGGCGACUACGUCUCGACUUCGGAUCUCCACCUGCGUUUCAGCAUCGGAUCUCCACCACCAUCCUUUAUGAGGUUUCUUUAUGUUGGGAAUAAGUCACAGAGACUCUUUGUGUUCUUUAUGUAAUUUUCACAUCUCCUUUUGUGAGAGCUUUUCACCUAUCCUUUUGUGAGAGCUUUUCACCUCUCCUUUAUGAGAUUUUUCAUCUCUCAUUUGUGAGAACUUUUCAUCUCUCCCAUGUGAGAAUUUUAUUUGCAUUGUAAUGACUUGGUUUUUUCAAGCUUUAUCUUUUUUAUUAUUAUUAUUCUGAAUUUGCAAUCUUAGUUGGGAUGACUAUGCCAAAGUUUCUUUGAUUCUGCGUGAUCGUUAGUGGAUGCACAUCAAAUUAUCUUAAUUUUGAUAUUAGACCGCUUCGUUAUUGUAAUGGUCUUUUGUGGCUAGUUUGUAUUGGCUCUUUGUGGCUAAUGACUUUUUUGCCUGAAUUAUGAAUUCAAUCUUAAAAUUUAUAUAAAAUAAAUAAUGAGAUAUUUAGUGAUAUACCAAUUCUUAGCACUAAUAUUAUAGAUAAACCCUACACCAUUGAAUUUCUAUAAACAAACCCAAAAAAAACUCAAAAAAUAAUAACUGGUCUUAUUGAAUAUAAUAUUGAUUAUUAAAUUACUUUGUUGCCCUAUUGAGUGUUUUGAGUAUUUUUAUGAGAUUUUAGAGUUGGGCUUGUUUUAAGAAAUUGAUGGCAGUUUUGUAAUUUAUAAGAAGUUAAAAGCCUAUUUAUUAUGUUGUAAAUGGGCUUUAGGUAUGUUUCUAAAAUCCAUUUUAUAUAGGAUAUUUUUAUAAUUUGGACUCAUAUAUUGAAUAUAAUAGUGAAUCUCCCAUAAAUAAAUUGAGCCAAAAAGUAUCUUGCUCAUUUGGGCUGAAGUCCUCUUAUAGAAGGGACAAAAUAUAUCGUCAUAGGCUAGCUAUGUUGGUCAGGCUUAGGAGGGUAAUUCUAUACACACCCAAGAAUUUUCUCUGGAUACCAUAAUCAUCAGACAAUUAAUUUGCACCCUUCACUCAAGUUUGAGUUUUCCUUUUCAUAAAUUAAAUUAAUUUAAAACAUUUUAAAUUAUCGCUUAUAUAAAAAAAAAGCAAAGAACUAAUAUUUCGUGUCAUGCUUGAUUAAACUUGAUAAUGAUUUGAAUGAACAAGUUAAAGUGACAAAAAUGUCCACAUAAUUAGAGAAAAUGGUCCCUCCCCAAAGGGUAUGAUGAGAAGAAUGGUUGAUGGAGGCUAGCUGGCGUCAACAGUAUUGUCAACCAGAGUUUGCACUAGAUUCACUCUUCUAUCAAUUCUCAAAUAAAUUGCCUUUCCUUUUCUUGUUAAAUAAUUAACUAAUAUAUAGAGACUACAGAGAAACAAACAAAAUUAUGUGGGUUUCCAGUUGUGUGACGGUCAUUCUCUUGAUUUGAAUUCUAAUAAUGGCGGAUGACCUUUUUUUUUUUUUUUUUUUUUUUGCAUCCUUCCAUCCAGGUGGAUUUAAGUAAGUAAGCUACCUCCAUCCAUCACUCAGAAAGGUCUGGAUUUGAAGUUGAGAGCUUUGGCUUUUUGUAAGACAUUUGGGGGAUUGAAGGUUUUAGAGUGUUAAGACACAUCACUGAGUUCAUAUGGUUUAUAAAUGAACCAGAACUUCAAUGGACUAAAUCAUUCUAAUCAGAAAAUUGUUGUGUAUGUGGGAUUUGAUGCUCUAGAAGAUUUUAUAUUUUAUGACUAUAUUCUCUGCCUUGUCAUUCGCUAAGACGAGACAACUUGUUUGUGCAUGAAAAACACAAAGUUGAAGUUGAAGCAGGUUCCUACCUUGUCAUUUGCCCUUUCUCUUCAAUAUUUUUUCUCGACUGUAAAAUGGAAUUUUUUAUCUAAAUUAAAAAAGAAAAGAGACGAAAGAAAAAAAUAGAGUAGAUCGUCUCUUUUCAAAAAACUCCAUUUCCAGACAUGACUGAAAAUUCCUAUAAGCAUUUACUCCUUGCACCGAUAUUCACUUGUAUUAAGAAAAAGAAGAAAUGGCAUAACUUUAGUGGCCCUUCUUAUUAAUAAUAAGUGCCGCUAACUAAUUUGACUUCCAAGUACCGAACGACCAAGUGGAUUUUAGAAUAGUUAAUUCAUUUUAUUGAAAUUAGUUGAGGUUAAAAAAUGUUAGAACUAAGACUUGUGAGGGUAAUAGGGAGGCCCGCACGAGUGAGUUCUGCAAAGUAACAGCGUCAACACUCGGCCAGCCUAUAACCCCUCCAUAAAUUCAUGCGCACAUUAUGCGUUGCGCGGCGAGCGGCUCUCACCGCUCGCUUUGUUUUCCUUACUCAUUAGUUUAAGGCAAGUUCAAACGUUGCGCACCAUCUUGUAUUUAUAGUGCUCUACUCGGAGCAACUCGCUGUUGAUUUUCGAUGUGGGACAAAUCGUCUUGGAAAGUUAGCCUUCUCCUCCACCGCUUCCAAGACUAGUUUUAUCCUUACAACUUGUGCCUCCGCUGCGCAGAUUUCUCAAGCACAUCGCAAUUUGGGCGCAUUUCGCACUGGAAUAUAAACAUUUAAAAUCAAGUUACCAACAUGUAGACGCUAGAAUGAGAAACAGAAAAUUAGUCCUGGAAAGCUAACAUGUAGAACCACUGAAACCAAGUUGUUUCUAGCCUUCUAGCAGUAAGAAACACAAAUCGGAAGAGCACGUACAGGGGGGAAGGAACAUGGAUUGAAGAACGACAUACUCAUCAAAUCGUUGUGUGAAAGUUGAUUUUUUACAUUUAUUCAAAGUGCACUACUUACAAUUUGUCUUCUUCUUUUUUUCAACGAGAGCUCAUGCAAUACAUUUUACAGCAAAGAAGCCUAAUUAAAUGGAAAUAAUCAACCCUGAAGAGCUUAAAAAAAUGGGAUGAAUAUGUUCAAAUAUAAAGCUGCCUUGCAAAAAUUUAGGCAUCAUAUAUUACAUGUCAAGAAAUUCAAGAAGAUUUUCGUGACAAUAGUGGUUCCAACUGAGGGUCAAUAUCCUUGGAGCCAGACUCCAGUUCGGCCACAGAUGAAUCCUCUGCUCUUUGCUUAAUCAAUCUCUGGAAGGGACUCAGUCUCUCUUCAGACGAUGGGUCUGCUGCCUUAGGUGUCUCCUUUAAGCUCUGCACAUGCUGAAGGCAAACUUGAACAGCAUCGUGCACUCUCACAAAGUACCACUCCUUACCAAUCAGGUCCACUACACCUGCUCUUGAUAAGGUCAUCAGAACUUCUCGAUUCGGAUUGGAAAUUGCUAUCUGGAUAUCCCGCAACUUGUACUCCUGAUACAAGUCUUUUAAGGCUUGAACGGCACUGGAGUCUAUAUACGUUACAGCUGCAAUGAUGAUAGAUAUACAAUUCAGUAAAUCAGCAGAAUCUUAUUUUAGAUCAGCCUUAUGAGCAAGCUAAGCCGGCAUGAUGUUUCAAUGCACAUCUAGUCAUUAAAUGCUUCUUAAUAACUGAAGAGGAAGACAAAAAUUGAAAGAAAAAAGAAAAAGGAAUGGGAUUAGCAAGACUUACGCGCCAUCUCUAUGAUAACAAAAUAAAUUCUUUCAACUUCUGGUCCACGACUGGUAGACCUAUCAACCUCAACUUCAUAUUCCCGUAGCCUGAAGGACAAAAUUAAAUUGACUUGAAUAUGCUUUCUUAACUGGGGAAAUCGGCAACUAACUCGGUUGUAGAGACUUGCUAAGUAAAUAAACUGUGGUACAAUGAGAUAACCAGAUUGAUUAGAUUUAUAAUAUAUCAAAGUGAUAGAGCAUGAAAUUGUACCUGUCCUUUAUGUAACUAAUGUUUGCAAAAUAAAUAGGUGCAUCAAUCCGAACAAUCACAAUUCCAUUAUAUGUAUAUGCUUCUGGAUACUGUUGAGUAUUUCUAUACACAGUUGUGCCUGGAAGACGCCCCAAGACAGCUGCAGCAUACAAAAAUUUAUUGAAUAAUCAAAUUCUGGAAUUAGCAUACCCCAAAAUAAAUGUAUCUUUAUGCUUCCAAUCCUUAAAAAGCAAAAUAUACAUGGAGGAAAUAUGUUAUUUUGUCAAUGCAAAAGGAUUGGCCAAGGCUUUCAGAAAUUAUCAUUACAUGUACUGUCGUUGAUUAAAAAGUCCAUGAAAUACAAAUAACAACCAGAAAGGUAGAUAGAGAUGAAGAUGAAGACAAUGAUGAUGAUGACAACAACAGAAAAGAAGAUGAUAGCAUGCUGGACCUUCUAACUGGAAUCAUAGAUAGUUGAAACAUGAAACAAGUGAAAUACCUAAUGUGUGGUAAUACAGGAAGCUAUGAACACGGUGCAUCUACUUAUGUGCACAGACUUUUAUGAUCAAUUGAACUGCACUUACCAAUAUGCGGAUUUGCUGAUUCAUGAAUGACAAAUGCAAGUGAAACACCUACCUGCAAUCACUCAAGCACAUUAAAACUAAAUGAUUAUAAAAGAAAAAAGGCACAUAGAAUAUAUAUAUAUAUAUAUAUAUAUAUAUAGAGAGAGAGAGAGAGAGAGAGAGAGAGAGAGAGAGAGAGAGAGAGAUUUCGUGAGAAGUUUAAUGAUAUUUAUGCAACUUGUAUGGUAAUUGAUUGUCCAAAAGCUUGAGCCAAUAAGAAACCAAUUAAAGCUAUAUAUAUCAAGCUAAUGCAAACUAACCCUGAAAACUUGCAUUGAAUGGAUGCAUAAUUCACCAUCUGAACUGUCUAUCUAAGAUUCAGGUACUGAGCAACAUUGGAUUAUUAUCAUGGAAAGGUUUUGUCUAGCGCAACUGUUGAUAGUUAUUAUGCCCUAAUCAGUCUUUCUCGUAAAAAAAUGCUGAUUCUUUUGGGUAUAAAGAGUUAGAACGAGUCUCCCAAAACUAACAUUGCUUCAUUUCUAUUGUAUAAAUGAACUAUUUCCCCACUAGAUACUGAUAAAACAGCUUCAAGUACUCACCCCGACAAGGACGCCAAUCUCGAUGCCAAGGAACAAUGUUGUAGUGCUUGUAAUAGUCCAAAGAAGAAAAUCUUUCUUAUCCACACCCCAUAAAAAUAUAGCCUCUUCAUAAUCCACCUGAAUUGGAUUACAUAAUAGAUUUUAAAAUAUUAUUCAUAAAACUUUACCUGCAGGACAAUGUUAUGUAUGCAUAAAAGCCAAUAAAGAUGAUCCUGUAAGGGCAUCGGAUCCCAUAAUACAACUAAAUCAAAUAAUAUUUUCUACAAAAUGCGAUAUCUACUGAAAUGCCAACUCAUGUGGUUAUUAAAUAGUAAAAUUACAUGACAACAACGAAAGCUCAAAAUGUAAGCACAACUCUUCAGAAUUUUAGAAUACCCACCAGGCCUAUUACAGCAGAAAUCACAAUGGCAGCGAGAGCACACUGAAUUACAUAAAGAACAAAUCCCAUAGUUAGGACAUCAAAUUGGAAUGACAACAGUGAUAAAACAAGUAAACACAUCAUUUGACAUAAUAGCAAAGAUGCCACCUUAUGUUUUCAAAUUUUUGCAACUAGCGUACAUCCCCAUGAAUAAAUUUCUAAUAGAAUGUAAUGAGCAAGAAGGAUAGCAAACGACAUAUUCUAAUGACUAGGAGCAGCAAAAGCCAUCAAUCAUGAGCUUCACAAGAUUAUAUUCCUAAAUGAAAAGGCAAAUGCAAUAAGAUGGAACUAAACCUGCGGUAUAUAUUCAAACAGUGGCGUCAUAAAUAGGAGAGCGCAGCCCAUCAAGACUCCCAUAACAAGUCCAGAUAAGCCAGAUUUAGCUCCACUUUCAUGAUUCACAGCUGACCUAGAAAAAGAACCUGCACGACUCCAAAAAGUAUAAAAUAUAUCAAAAAUAUAAUAUAUAUAUAUAUAUAUAUAUAUGAAAAUCCUGCCUGCAGCUCUUAGAACCUCAUAGGCAUCACACCUGUUGUGGGAUAUGCCGAAAAAAAUGAACCAAAAAUAUUGGCCACACCAAGACCGAACAACUGGUUAAAACAAAAAAAGAUUCAUUAGAUUAUAGGGUACAGUUUCCUUGCUUGCUACCAAAUGACUUAAUCAAAUUCACCAAGAAUCAUGUAUCAAGAAGCAAUAGUAAUACAAAGACAAACGGAUAAGCAUGCAGCAAACAGUUAAGCUUUAAUCACAAAGUUCUUACUUAAACUUGUAUUUUUGUUUUUAUUGAUAACCAAGAGCUAUGGUUUUGAGCACAUGCUCUACCAAUUUUUCCAAAAACAUACCUCUUGAUUUGAGUCCAGCUCAUACCCAUUCUUUGCUGCUAAUGCUUUUGCAAUGCCCACAGAUUCCUAGAGAUACAAAUAAAUUAUCACAGUACUGAUAGAUAUGAUCAUUUAAACAGAGAAAGCAAAGCUACAAGUAAAAGGUUCUAUGGAGCUCAUCUUACCAAAAUAGCUACACCAGUAAUCAGAAGUGCGGUGGUGAUCAAAGACGUAGCAUAUCCAAAAGCUCUAGGAAUAGAAAAGCUUGGUAGGCCCUGAGGUAUAUCUCCUACCUAAACAACAGUCAAGAUCCUUUAGUAACCUACUACUAACUUAAAGUUCUGUCGAAUUCGUCUAUGAGAAAAGAGACAUUACAUGAAAACAGAAGGAAUCAUACAACAGGAAAAAUAGCAACAUAACUAAAUAGGAUGUUUUCUGUCUCCUACAUUGACACUUAUUCAAUUUUAAAACAGGCACCAGAUUAGAUUGUGACUAUUUAGGAAACUCUAUCAUUCUAUGUAACAGGCCUGCAUUCCAAAUUGGCAAGCUCACCAUGCUCUCUUUACCAUCCCAAUUUUCAAACAGAUGGCAUAACAAAGCUUGCAAAACUCUACAUUGGUUAUUUUAACUAUUAGAGAACGAUAGGUAGUGAAUCUAAUAGAGAAUGAAUAACUAACUAGGAAAUUCUUCUUCUUUUUUUCUUCUCAAAUAUCCUGGAUGACAGGUUCAUGAGUGUUCACAGGCUAAGAUUUUAGACAGGUGCACAACAGCAGACUUAUGGCUGACAGAAUGUAGACAAAAACAGAACAUUCCAUGUAUAAUCUAUUACUAAAGCAAGCAUAAACAGAACGUGAGAAAAGUAUACUGUAAUCACUACAUUGUUAGAUUGAAUAACUGCCAAUUAAAGUGAAUCUAAUAUACAUCACACUCACCAAAGAUAUGGAAGAUGGAUUAAAUAUUUUUACAAAAAUUGUGCCCGAAAGAACAGCUGUGAGGGGACCUGCUGCUCUCAGGAAACGCAAGUACUUCCUUGUUUUUCCCUGAAUGUAUACAAUUAUAAUUAAAGGCAAAAUUAUGCUAAAGAAAUAUAUUCCAAAAAGUGCAAUAAAAAAGCUCAUACCAAGUGUUUCAUGAUCAAAAGUAUUGCAAGAAUGACAGAUCCCAUCACAAAAGGAGGCCAUGAGAACUACAAAAGAAAAAACCUGCCGCAGUUAAGAAAGGGAAUUGAUAAGUAAAACACAAAGCAAGACACAGUCACCAGUACGGUUAAGUUACGUAUGAAAUUAUCAGUCAUUUUUUGGGGCAUAAUGAAUGUUAAAACCAUGGUCUAGUAUCAGCACAUAUGUUAUUGUGUUGAUAGCAUUCAAGAUUGAUGUGAUUCCAGGUAUUCAGGUUUCAAGGUUCUGGUGCAGAUUGAUAUUCGGUGAAGUGAUGGUGCAAAAUAACCAUCAAGUGUAGUGUACAAAUUAACUAUAGCGGACCAAGAGCUUUUCUUCCAGUUUCCGCUUAUUGGUUUCACUUUGAUUUACUGAUACUCCAUUUUCAAAACCUACCCACAUGGUUGAGUUUCCCAAAAUGAUGUCUUAGAGACUGAACAUCUGAUGAUUGACUCUUGUCAGUCUCACUUCAUGCAUACACAAAUAAAAUAUUAACAGAGCUCCAUCAUCAAGGUCAACCAUCUAUGACUUUGAAGGUUGGAAAUAAGGCUUGAAUGGAUCUGGGUUCACUCUGAUCUUUAGACUUAAUCCCCACACAUCAUCCAUUAAGUUGUUCACAGUUUGUAUCUUGUGGAAACUGACUGUAAACCGUUGUAAAACUAACUGCAAGUGAUAGACUUGCAUUCUUAAAUAUACUAAAUCAACUCCCCUUGUAUAUUAUGGCAUGUGGACAUCCCUCAAAGAAAAAACGAAGUUGUCACCUAUUUGCAAUUUCCAGCAAGAGAGAGAGAGAGAGAGAGAGAGAGAGAGAGAGAGAGAGAGAGAGAGAGAGAAUCUGUCAUGAACCACUACAUAGGCUAAUUGGUAUGACUACAUAAAAUGACAGAUGAAAUAUAAUGCACAACAUCCAGUAGUUGCGCUAUGAUUCUGAUUGUUGAUCACGGCCACAUAUAUUUGACAAUUAGAAUCACAAGUUGAAAACUAAGAAAUUUAAUAUUCCGUUGAAGUGUAGAAAUAAAAUUCCAUAUUAUUUAUCAGAUUAAAGAUCAUUAUUAGAACAAAGAAUAUUGAUAACCACCACGGCUAGUCAUAAAAGCGAUACAUUAACAUGAGAAUUGCAAUGUUGGAUGAGAAAAUGCAAGCUCAAACCCAAAUAGGAAGAUAAUAUACGAAAGGUAUACCACUUGGGCAUGCAAGCAAAGCAUACCCCAUCAGCUCCAGAUAUAAUGCUCUUGAUCAAUGGCACAAUCUUGCUACUUCGUGCUACAUUAUAUCCCAAAAAGUAUUUUGCCUGAGAUAAGGCAAUCACGAUGGCUGAAGCAGUUGUAAAGCCAGAAAUGACAGAGUGGCUGAUGAAGCGAAUAAUCCAUCCUAGCCUGAACGGGCAAAGAUUAUAAUGUAACUGAAACUAAAAAAAACAUCAAGGUGAUUAUCCAAAGCUAAACCUAAUUUUAUGACUAGUACAAACAAGAACUAAUGUUGUGGUGUGAUCGAUAUAGGAUUAUAUAGCUCCCGAUUCUGGGUUAGCAAGUUUUAGGCUCUGGCUUCUUUAGAUGUCAAAACAGAAUGUAUAUAAUUGCUGAGUAAAGUGCAUUUACAUGCUGUAUCCAUGAACAUGCUCCUGUAGAGGAUAAAAGCAGAAGUACUUACCUAAAGAGCCCCAAAAGGCAUUCCAUGACCCCAACCAUAAAUGCCAGUAAGAUAGCCAAUUCUGUGUAUAAUUCAUCAGAUGAAUCAACUAUGCCACUUAAGACAUUAGAGACCAGGAGAGAAACCAAUGCUACUGGACCAACGGCUAGCUGACGAGAAGAGCCAAAUAUGGCAUACACAAACAAAGGUACAAAACCAGAAUCUGCCUUGUAACAUCGAACAACUAUAAUUACAAACAUGCAGAUAAAAUGAUGGAUAAACAAAUAAUCAGAAAAUUUAAUGACUUGAUAAUACUGUGUCAGAACUUACAGAGUCCGUAUAUUGGUUCAAGUCCAGCCAAUUUUGCAUAAGACAUUGACUGGCCAUUUCACAGCAAACGGUCAAUAGAAGAACAUACAGUAAACAACGUACAUGAAAUAUUUAAUUUAAAACCAGUCUCACUGCAAUCACGAAUUAGAAAUAUCUUUAUUUGAUACAUGGCAAGCGACAGUAGGCACUUUUAAAUUUGUAAAGGAUUUAUUUACCGUCUACAAAAGAAAAUUAUUUAUUAAAAGAAAAGGCUAAAAACACCAAGUUCUAUUUAUAUCAGCUUAUUAUGAUGAAUUUUAAUUUUUUUUAAUUUUUUUUUUGUAUAAUUACGACAAGCUUUAAACAGUUUAUAAAAUAUGGAAUAAAUCAUAUAUUACAAUGAUCCUUUUUUUUAAAUAAGAUUUAUAGAGUGAAAAAUUCGAAUCAUUAAUCAUAUCAUCUAAAGCAUUAAUUUUUCAAAAGCACCUAAGAAAAUGUAUUUAAUUAUUUUUACGCCGUCACAGAAACAGUACUAGUCUCUCCAGUCACACGUCUUUUGCCUCGACGCCGAUCAAGCCAAAUGAUGAUAAGUACAACUGGUUGUGGAAAAUUUCUACACGCACCUCAAGUUACCGACUAAUUGUUAGAAACUAAAGAGAAUUAGAAAGCUGUCAUAUCCAUAAACAGUGUUAGGGAAGUGAAUGAACACGAUAAUUUUUUUUUUAAAGUCCAUUUAAAACAACCAGGGGUAUAUUCGAAGCUUGAACAAUAUGAAAGUUAAUCGAAUAUUUUUCGUCAAAAGCGUGACACAAAUCAACUAAAGUACACAAAAAUAAAUAAACAUGUGAUUGGACAGACGAAAUGAAAAAGAAGCAUGUGAUGGGAGAAAGCUUGAAAUUUGCUCCUGUUUGGUCCGAAAACUGUAGGAAAUUAAUGUUUUAGGUUUCAAAAUUUUAAUUUUUGUACGAGAACAAAUAGCUUAAUUAGUGGCGUGUGAUUCGAAAGAAAAAAAAAAUUCAGCGUUAAAAUCGGUUUUUUUUAUCCUCAUAAUUAAUUAAUUAACGUCACAAGAUUAGAAACCAAACUGACCAAAAAAAAGAACAACGAAGAAAAGUCUUUUCUGUUUGAUUGCUGAGAAAAGUAAUGGUUCAGGCAACGAAAAGGCUAGAAAUUAUCAACGUAAGGGCCUGGCAAUUCCAUUUCAGUUUAAAAAAUCAAAAACAAGAAAGAAAAGAACCGAAACUUGUAAUUAAAAUAUGUAAAAACACUCAACUCAACGUGAAAAACGAAUUGGCGGAAUUGAGUUGAAUAGUUAACGCUCAGAAUUUUCUUUUCGUUUCCUUCAUUUUCUCGGCGACCAAACAGAGGACGACGACCAGAACUAAAAACGGAAAAACAAAAGAAAAAGCAAUUUCUACCUGAGGAACGAGCAUGACGCCGACGGUGAUGCCAGCCAUGAGAUCGACCUGCAAAUACUCGCGCCAUUUAUAGGUCCGAAUCCAGCGGGUGCAAGGCAAGAAGACCUCCAGCCACUCGACCCAGGUCAUGCUCUGGACCUUGGAUUUCCAUCUCGACAGCGCGGCCCACGUCGACGACGAAGCGCUGGACGAAGACGACGUCGUACUGGGGUGCUGGAGGGGGAUGAUUCGGACGGGUCUGGUCGAGGUCGGCAUGGAGGAUCCGUCCGCGAAGUCAGUGGAGCUGGGAGAUGCGUAGGUUAUCUCCAUGCGCACCACCGGCGCAUGAGAGAGUUUUAUUUUUUAUCGUGGCUUUUGAUUUGAGUGUGCGCGGCGCUGGGUGGCCGAGAGAUAUUGCUGAUGGCUUACUGGUCCACUUCGUUUGGUAAAUGGUAAUUUAAUUCAGGAAAAUGAGUGACAUUAUAUAGUUUCCAAUAACUGCCUCUUAUAUCCGCGGUUUUCAAUUAAUCGCCGCUGUAAAAAAGAUUUAAAAAAGAGGGAAAAUACGAUCGGCAAAGGGGAAGAAAUGUCAAUUUGAUUAGAAAUUAGUUGAGGAAAUCAGAUUCUAAAGUUGUAUUAUUCUUCCAAUUUUACUAGUUUCUUUGUAUUGGCAUCAGAAUAUGCAAAUUUACCAAAAUACCAACUAGCAAAGGAAGGACUGGUUUUUGCCGUGGGAGUGGAAAUUUCCAAGUUGCUGCGGUUGUGAGAAUUGAGAACAGAGGAGGACCAUAUAAUGGAAAACGACAAAAAUAAUGAAGGUUGAACCAAAAAUAGAUGUACAAAUUUACCAAGGAAAAUAUAGAAACAUAGAAAUAGAACGGGUUCUGGGUAAGAAAAACUUGGUUGCAAAGAGUAUGACACUAUUUUGUUAUCUCCAAUUAAUAACGUUAUGUCAUAUUGAAAAAUUAUCACGAGUGUUAUAGCGUUAUUGAUUCAAGAUAACAAAUCGGUGUUAUUCUCAUUUCAUAUAAGUGUUUCUAGUUUUAAUUAUCACAAGUGUUAUAGCGUUAUUGAUUCAAGAUAACAAAUCGGUAUUAUCCUCAUUUUAUAUAAGUGUUUCUAGUUUUAAUUAUCACGAGUGUUAUAAAAAUAUUAUUGAUUCAAGAUAACAAAUCGGUGUUAUCAUCAUUUCAUAUAAGUGUUUCUAGUUUUAAUUAUCAUGAGUGUUAUAAAAGCAUUAUUAAUUCAAGAUAACAAAUUAGUGUUAACCUCAUUUCAUAUAAGUGUUUUUAAUUUUGGUGGCUUUUGGGGGGGUUUGAAUUGAAUGAAUGUGGACUACAGUAGGGACAAGUUCAAGUCGGCAUGAUUGAGGAUGAAGGUGAUAGGCACACGGAAGCGGUUUUGCUGGGACAGCUCACCACGUGCAUGUAUCAGGCUCGUAUUUUCACUUUUUUAAGAUAUUGGGCCGGGGCUGCCCAAUGAGGGGAGCUUAUAAAAUUCAAUACUAUGAUUAGUACUCAAUUAAUUAAUCUCAUAUUUAAUUUCUUAUAAUUUUUCGAAUUAUUUUUUUCUUUUAGCAAAAUAGAAAAUUAUAUGAAUCUCACAUUAAAAUUCACAAUUUAACAUUUGAAAAUUAAAAAUUAAAUUGAUUACGGGAAGUUGUUCCAUAUCCAUUCUUCUCUUCCCAAAUUCCUAAUUUUCCCAAUUUCAAGGAAGAAAUUGAAAUCUUAGAAUUUCAAUGGAGCCUAGUUCAUUAUGUUUCCAUGCACUCUCCACCAAUUUGGGGGCAAAACCCACAAAGCACUAGGACUCUGACAGGAUUUUGGUCCACCACAUAAGGGCAGAGAGUAACGUCAACUUGUGGGUUGUCUUUUGCACCCUUUAAUUCUUACAAAUGCUGAUAUUUUUUUGCAGGUGGAUAAAAACAUAGCAGUUAACAUAUAUAUAUACAUAUUGGAGAGAGGGAAAGAAAAUGCGACAGUGAAAGUUUUGAAAUUACCGUGUUAUUUAAUUGGAAAACAGUUUCCAAAUAUGAUAUUUCUUUGUUUUUUUUUUGAUUGAGAAGAUCCAAGUCCCACCUAAGCUCAGGCAGUCUAAAUUAGCACGUAGGCUGGACCUAUCAAGUUGAAAUUACUGCGUCUCAUUUUUUAGGAUGCAUGAGAUUGAGAACAAGCCAUACAUAUGUUUGUUUCCCAUUGUCACUAGAAGAAUCCAACUUGUUCUUGACGCCUAACCAAAUAUCUACACAUUUUUUCGUUUCAUUUGCCUCCCGUUCCGAAUAAUGUCUAGCAUUCACGUGGAACAGUAAUAUAUAAAUAAAAAUCCUCACUUUAUGAGUGUGACUGUGCGUGCUCGGGCUUGUGACUGAACUCAUAAUCUAGAUGAACAAAGGCACGCUCAAUUUCGGGCAAGAGCUCGAGCUUCUCCUGCAGCGUUUCUCCUAUGUCAUGCGCCACUUGCAGGGGCAUGUCUGCUGGCAGGACAAUGUCAACCUCAACAAAGUAGUGAGAGCCAAAGGUGUAAGCCCGCACAGUAUCUAUAUGCCGUACCGCCUUGUGAUGGUUCCAACAAAGGUAUGUUAGUUUUUGUAGAUAUUCUGGAGCAGCUGAUUUUCCAACUAGGGAAUUCACAUUUUCCAAAACCGUCAAGGACCAGGUGCGAAUGGUGUACAAGGCCAGCUGCAGAAAUCCAAGGUUACAUAUAAGUAUAGCUUCCAGAAAGUCCAAGUAUAACAUGAAGGUAGCCCUCAACACCUAUCAGCAUUGGAUGAGCCCAAAUAACAUUUGACACAUAAAUUGCAAGAUAAUCACCACACAUUUUCUGGCCAAAAAACAAAAUUUCCCUGUUAUUCUAUAAUCUAUAUAAUUAUAUUUUUAAAUAACAGGAAUGCCAGGUUAACAGUCAUAUAAGAAUAGUAGUGGUUGUGGCCAAAACGGAAUAGUAGUGGCCAAUACAGUCAAAUUCACAAUCUCUUGAUCAAGAGAACCCAAUAAAGGGAGUUCAAGAUCUAGAAGACCAUUGUUUAAAAGCACUGGAAGAGUAUGAAAAUAAUACUGUAAAAGUACCCAGCUCACCUCAGUUCACGGAGAAUGCAUGUAUGAAAACCUUUCAUCUAAGAUCUUGCUCAAUUACUAUGUACUUCAUAAGAUUCACCAUUAGGUGAAAAUCUAUCUUAUAGUAGAGUCUCACUCCAACCCUUUCAUAAAGAUGCAAGACUUGGCACCCUUAACAGGUAAAGUUCUUAUUUCAGUAUUAGUAUUUGGGGGGAAGAAAGAUUAGAGGAAUGGAGAGAGCAGGAAGUCACUUACAAUGACAGCUCCAACAGGGUCCAUCCAAUCAUCAAAAUACUUAGCAAGGAGCACAGCAACGAGACCAAUGAUGUUAGUUAUAACAUCAAAGAAGUGAUCCUGGGCAUAGGCUUUAACAAUUUCGUUCUUGAAAGUGCGGCAAUAAAGCAUCAGAAGCAAUUUAACCAAAGUUACUGAUAGCAUAAUGCCCACGACCCAUCGCUCUUGAUCUUUGGUCAAGCUGAACCCAUCCUCCUAGUAAAACAUAUAAGUUUGAAAAAGCAACGUAAGGGUGUUAGUUUUAACAAAAGAUGGAAGUGGCUGUUUAUUGUAAGUUUGUAACAAGAACAUCCAGUUCUUUUUUCUUAGCCAGACUAUCAAGAAAUCCAGUGUUCAACCCUCCAAGUAAAUAAAUAUCUUUAUAUGCUUGAAUAUCAGCUCGUAACAACUUACAUCAGAAGCUAGUGUGCGAAUUGACUCUAGGAUGAUCUGCAGUCCCAGGGUUGCCAUGACAGAGGCAAAAACAAGGAUUCCCUGCAUAUUAUUUUCAAGCUUCAGAUUUUAGUAUGACAAAGACAUUUCAACAAUACCUCAAAAAAGGAUGAGAAAACAUAUGCAAUAUGAUAACUCAAAUGAAAUAUAUCAUGACUGCAAUAUGUAAAAGAAGCUAUCUACUUCUUGACCCUGUCAAAUGUCUUUAAAACAAUAGCAAAUAAGGAUGCAAACAAACCAGUCUAUAGCAAAACAAGUCAACUACCUCACGAGCCUGCUUGGUGUAAGGCUAAGAAAGAGGGUGUGUUGAGCCCUACGUUUGACAAACUACCCAGACAAGCUUAUGGUGGUUUUGCUCACGACUCGCUCAUUGGCUUGUUUGAGUUAUAUAUAUAAUCAAUAUAAAUACACACACCUUCAUAUGUAUGAUCUACACCUAACACAUGACAACAAUUCAUCACAUACAAAUUCCAAAGGGCACUAACAUGGCCAGAAAAAUGAACAGAUUUCUCCUUUAAAAUAUACCCUCGCUUGCAGGAAACAAAAAACAGACAAAAAAAGAAACCAUAGUAAAUUCUCAACGAAGAAAGAAAAAUGGUUGAGAUAAGUCAAUAAAAAAUCCAGGGAAUCAACUAAGACAACGGUCAAGCAUACAAAGAACUGCACAUAUAAUUUGACACGAAGCAGCAAGAAUCAAGAUUAAAGAAAUGGUUAGAACUUUCCUCUCAGUACUUAGAUUUUGUUCAAUGUAGAUUAACAAGAAAUAAAUAACUAUCCAGCUUGAAGGAACAAUUUGUAGGGUUGUCCAACAAGGAAAAAGGUAUGACCAUUACAAGUUAUAUGGAUACAUACCUUCCAUCUUCAUUCCCAAAAGAGAAAAUAAAAUAAAAAUGCUAUCCAAUCUCAACAGUCAAAGGUCCCCUGUAUGGGUGAACCCCAAGCCCAUUAACAGUUGAGAUUGGAUAGUCACAUGAAUACUCAAGCUGCACAACUAAGCCUAGCAACCAUAAAUGGGGGAUUAAACCUAUAAUAUCAUAAGUGUGUGACUCUGAAGGCAACAUAACUUGUAUGUGUAAACAUAGAAAACAUCAUAUGUGGAGUGCAGUUGCAUGCAUCAACAUCCGGUGCAAUUUUAAACUAUGGCUAUAAUUACCAUCAACAAUAGUACAGAGACAUACCAAUGGCUGCAUGCGUUUCUUCCCGAUAGGGUACUGAUAUGGGUUAGGGGUUUGCAUGGAGAAUGCAGUAAACCACAGGAUGAAGCCAGACAAAAGAUCGAGCAAUGAGUCUAACGUGGAUGCGAUGAUGGCUAAUGAACCACUUCUGAGAGAUGCAUAAACUUUAGCUGCAAAAAGAACCAUGUUUGCAACAUUUGAUAUUCUGAUGGCAAAUGUCUCACUGUUUGCCAACUUUUCCUGCUCUUCCUGCAACAGACGUCGUUAUAUAUCAGUUUAAAAGUAAUUUGAGUGUACUGAUAUUUACAGAGACAGAGAACAUGAGGCAAUAUAAAACCUUUGACAUUCCAGGAAUAAAACCACGCUCCGCUAAGGCAUCCAUCUCGGUAAAGCCCUCAAGCAUUUCUACCUGUUGUUGGUAGUACUCUGCCACAUUAUCUUCCGGGCCUGAGGCCAUCAAGCAGAACAAUUAACAUGGUACCUGUGCAAGCUCCUCAUAUGCUAUAUAUAUAUAUAUAUAUAUAUAUAUAUAUAUAUAUAUUGCAUAAAGAAUAAUAGUCGUCUGCACAUAUUCCCUUUGCCCAUUUCCCCUCUUUAGAUAGAUGAUGAAAAUAUGAAACCCUCGUUCACCCUUCACACAGAUGAUGAAACUAUAAACUAAGUCAGCAAAUACUGAUACUCCAACCACAAACAGAAAAUGCUUUAUUUAUCAGAUGUUGCCAGUGAACUUACACUCUGACAGUCAGUCCCGAAGAUCAUUCAAUACAGGGGGCAGCACAAGUAAGUACCCUAACAAUCCCACAAGGUCCCUUCCAUUAAGAAAACUAAAGAAACUUUGCAUAACACAGAGCACAUUAAAAAACCCAUAAACUAUAAACCGCUCAACUCCAGCACUCUCCCACAAAUGUUUGUAAUUCACCUCCACUUUAAGCUUUUCGAUUACAUUUUUUUAUAUAGCAAAUUGUAUCAUCCACACCCUUUGGAAUCACGAAUAUAUGCACAUGUAGGAAAAAGACAAAUUAAAAUCUAACCACGAAAAUUAAUCCGACUUGUUUAAUUCAUUUAUUUAUAAAAAGUGAGCUACCGAAACAAGAAAAAUUCUGGGAGACCAAAGCACGCAACAGAAUAUUGCUAUUUGAGACCAUACAAAAGAAAAAACAAACAUCACCCAAAAAAAUAUAACAUUACUUUGACAAUGAAAGUGACGAUGCGAAAUUACCUAGAACCCCAAGGCAGUCAUGGAGGCCACGGGGAGGCCUUUUCUCCUUGUGCUCAGAGGAUACCUGGAAACCGUCGAAGUUCAACCGCCACGACCCUUCAACAUUGCUCGACUCUUGCAGGAGCGAGCGCUCCUCGUCGCAGUCGGGCGUCACCGGCUCCACCAUUUCCUGAUUUCUGGGAGAGUGAUAGAGAAGGCACUAGGGCAGAUAAGCAGAGCCGGAUGAGCACAGGAGCACUGAGGGUAGGGAGUGAAAAUUUGAAGAGACGCGGAGGGCUGUUUGGGGAUAUACAGAUUUUCUUAGUAGGACUCUGUUGUGGUCUGCAUAGUCGGAGAGUCGAGCGCCAAGGGAAAGUAAAUGGGAUGGGUACGGAAACGGAAAUCGAUCGCAAUCUGACGCCACGUGUAGGGGCAGGAUGGCGUGAUGGUGAGGGUGACAGUGUCUGAGCUGGACAGAGCGGUAUCGUAAAAUAGAAUGUCUAAUCUGAGCCACAGAUUCUCGUUUCGUGUUUGGUUGAUUCGGUGGGGCCCAUGUCAAACUGCGGGUCCGAUCGGAUUCAAGAUAUGGUCUAUCCGGUGCGCGCGAGGAGCACCUAUCACCUGUAUUUAAGACCGUCGGAUGGCGAUGAGAAUGUCAUUUUUCUAAUCCUGCGGUACACGGACUUAGUCCGCCGUCCGAGUUAAAGUAUGCAAGUCAAAGUCGGUAGGCUGUUUCGUAUAAUUGGGAAUAAAGGAUCGCGCUAUGUUGGAUUUGUGGGCCCACGAUGGGAGACCCGCUGACACAUCGGACAGCUCCACUUAUACUUUGGGCCUCUGGCCUCUGUAUCUAUUAUUGUAAGGGUGCGGACAAAAUGGCUCAAUCGGAUCCUAUGUUAUGUUUAUCCAAACCAAAUUAAACUGCAAUUUGUUAGGUUUGAUUUUGCCCAACUAAAAAUUCUUCAUGUUUUGAACGAAAUGCUUUUGAGUUUGAUCUGAAUUUUUACCAUCAGCUAGACAAUGAUAUUAGUUGCGUGGUAACUCUACUACAAUGAUAUUACUAUUUAUGCAGUUGAAGUCUUUUGUUGCUUACCAUGGAUAUUAUUGUUAGUUUUAUUUCAACUACGUAUAGCAUUUACCUUCCGUUUGGAUUUGGAUGAGGAAAAGUAACUCUUAAUUUAGCUCAAAGUCGGUGAUUUAAGAGGAGAAAUUGAUAAUUUUCUUGUUUGGUAACUUAAACGUGAAAUUUAUUAAAUGACACGCAGAAAAAAUCGUGGAAAUUGAGGCAUCAAAUUCCCAAGUUUAAUUUCCACUAAAAUAAGCGUCAUUUCACAAUUUUCAUAAUGCCAUUUACAAAAUUCGGCAUACAUAAAUACGAACUUUGAAAACUUCAAUUGCCAAAAUUUAAAAUAAUGAAAAUCUAAAUUCUGUUAUUUUAGAAUUUUAUAUAAUUUUUAAUUUAUUCAUCCAAACAGAGGGUUAUGAAAUUUGGACAUGUUGGGUUUCACAUCGAUUACAUAGCUGGCAAUUAUACUCUACUUCCAGAGGUUGUCGAAGCAUCACUUGGCCUGGCCCUCAUAUCAUAUGCAUGAAACUACGAUAAAAUCUUUAAAUUUAUUUCCAACUGCAUCCUUAUUCUUCAAACCUUGGUCAGACAUGCCUAGUUAUUGUUUAGCAAGUCUUUAAAUUAAAAUAAAGUAUACUAACCCCAUAAGAGAAGAACAGAAUGUUGAGAUAAAAAACCACCUUUUUUACCUGAGACAUUUUCUAAAUAGAUGGAUUCCCACAUCUUCAAGUAUAAGAAUAUGAUAGACAAUGCAUGUGCUGCAAAUUUCAAUUCUUUUGCCAUAAAAACAAUAGACGAUGCAGACAUCUAAAUGAUAGGAUGCAAUUCCUUUCUCUUUUGCUUUAACUCUAGAGUACAAUUAAUUCUCUAUUCUCUACUCUUUUAGAGGACAAGUCUUGAAAGAAAAAUAACCAGUAUAAGAGUCGCAUGUAAAAGAAGAAGUCAAAUCGCAUUGCAGGCACAUAUCAGGCCAGUGGUCAUAUGGCUUCCCACAAAUUCUACAAUCCAUAAGGAUUGCACGUCCACGGGUGUUGCCGCAUUUGGCACAACAUGAGUCUCUAAACCUACUUCCGCAGACAGUACAUUGAACCGAACAACCCUUGCCAAGAAUUGCAUUCUUUGGCACAUCAUACUUGUAGGGGCACAGUUGCGUAAUGUGAUCAUCCACCUUUAAACAAUACCUACAUUCACCUGUGUGCAAUUUGUAGAUCCAUUGUUAAAUACAACAAAAGCAAUAAAAAUAAUUACUUAUUGGUUAUUAAAAAAAAAUACAGGGAAUGAAUGAAGAUGAUAAAACCCAAAAAUAAUUAUUCUGUGCACAUGACAUAGAAUUACAACAAAUAAAUUGAUAUUAUGUCAUAAGAAGAGAUAUAUAUAUAUAUAUAUGUGUGUGUGUGUUAUGAAACAUAUGUAAAUACAGUAUGCAUCUUUUUUUUUAUAUAUAUAUAAUCAAAAACAUACCAAUAGGAUUAGGAUGGAGGAGGGAGGGCAAAACAAGGUUUUGUCUAAUGGAAAAGAGUCUUAAUUUGCAAACUAGUUGUCUCACGUUCAAAGCCACUUGACAACUCGGUAGUGUGUAAUUUAUACUGUGGCGUGUAUCAUAAAUAAAAAUAAAUAACAAACAUACCAGCAGGAACAGGAGGGUUCGGUUCCUUCAAAAAGUCAACAUUUGGUGCUGCGUGGCUAGAGAAUAAGCUAUAAGUUCUUCAAACCUCCUUUGUUCUGCAGUUUUUGGUUGUUUAGGCUUAUCUGUUUGCAUGCAAUUAUAUUGUUAAAUACAAAAGUAAGAAAGAAAAGAAUAAGUUGUAACGUCAAAGAAGUUAGAAGGAAUGAUAUCGAUCCUGAAUAUCGGGUAGUAUUCAUUGUGCACACACAAAAUAACUUGACUGGAAAAGAUAAAACUGUUUCAAAAUUUUGGGAUAAUACAUACAUCCUCUAAUUACAUCAACAAAAGUAAAACGAAAACAACAGUUUCUUUUUUCCAAAACCACACAAAGCCCAAUAGUAAAAGAGACAAAAAAUUUGUUGAGAAAUACACUCAAUUAACCAAAUGGACCAACGAUCUUCCUCUAAAAGUAUUUUCAAAUAAAAUAGAAUUAGGAUAUUAUACGAAACGAAAUUCUACCACAUAAACCAAAAAAACAUACGUACUCAUUGACUUCAAAAUUGAAUUCCAAAGUGACUUAUCCGUGGAAUAGCCAACCCUCUCUUGCGGGGAAAGAUCCUUUCCUCCGCCGCCGUCCUUAUCGAGCACCACCGAUUGGCCAGCCACAUUUGGCGAGCAAAGGAGAAGGUCCUUUGCAGAGCAGUUGUUAUCAACCACCAUGUGGGAAAGAGAUUGGGAGGGAUUUUAGGGUUAAGGGCUUGGCGUAGAGAUGAGAUUAAAAAGAUGGGUGUUUGCUUAUAGAUACUUAUAAUGCUGAACCACUUGAAGGAAUUAACGAUGUUUCUCAGCAAAAGCUUGUUCUUGGAGGAGAAGUAUGCAUGUGGGGUGAGACAGCUGAUACAUCAGAUGUUCAGCAAACUAUUUGGCCUCGAGCUGCUGCUGCGGCAGGUAAGUAGUGAAUUAAGUUGAUUUAGAGUCAAUCUCCCAGGUGUGAUAUGUAUAUAAGCAAGUACUUGGUACUGUGCGUUUUCUGGGUACUCUUCAGCUUGAGACUGAACGCCAUUUUGUUUUCCCUGUAGAGCGUUUGUGGAGCAGGAGGGAGGCAACAUCUGCGCGAAAUGGUAAUUUAACUGCACUGCCUCGGCUACAAUACUUCAGAUGCCUCUUGAAUAGACGUGGAGUUCAAGCUGCUCCAGUGACCAACUUGAUUGCUCGAAGUCCUCCAAUUUGGUCCGCGGGUCAUGCUAUGACCAAUAAUACUUCGAUUAUCAUAUUAGGUGAUUUCAUUAGUCUUAAACUUCCCUUCCAAUGCUAUACAGAUAAAUGCAAGCGUUCUAGAGAUUUUGCAUAUCUGUUGUUCAAACAUGCAUGCCUAUUUAUGAUAGCUAUUAUUGUCAGAAUUUACGGUUUAGAAUCUUUUGCUUCUUGAUGUUGAGAUCAUUGGCUGGGAAAUAUUAUGGAUCACAGAGUAUGGUCAUUGUAUUUGGAAAAAUGGGUUGUUGUUGCCUUUUUUUUUUUGAGAAAUUCUAUAGUUGCAUUCAAAGUUCAGUCAAAAAAGUCACUAGUCACAAAGGGCCAAUACAAACUAGCCACAAAAGAGCUAUUACAAUAACGGAGCGGUCUAAUAUCAAAAUUAAGAAAAUCAGGUAUGUCUCCACUAAUGAUCAGCCAAGAUCGAAGAAACUCUGGCAUAGACAUCCCAACUAAGAUUGCAAACUUAGAAUAAUAAAAAAAAGAUAAAGCUUGAAAAAACCAAGCCAUAACAAUACAAAUAAAACUCUCACCAAGGAGAGAUGAAAAGCUCUCACAAAGUAGAGGUGAAAACUACACAGAGAACAUAAAGAGUCUUUGCAACUUAUUCCAAACAUAAAUAAAUUGCAAAAAAAAUGGUGGUAGAGAUCCGACGCCGAAAUGCAGGUGAAGAUCCGAUGCUGAGCCGCAGCCGCCUAUAAUGGUUAGAUGAAAAUUAUAACAAAACUAAGACAAAUAGGGAAAACCCUUUGUCUCUGAAAAUGGGGGAAGAGUUGAAAGGAGGAAGAGAGGAAGAGAAGAGGGGAGAGGAGGGAAGAAUAAUGGCUUCCUCCCCCCUCAAAGUGGAAAAGGCUCUAAGAGUGUUUUUUGGGAGAAAGGAGGCUAGAGUUUCCCAAGAAAAUGGGUUGUUGUUGCCUAGGCGUUCCUUUUUUAUAUAUAAUUAUUUAGUAUUUUAAAUUUUAAAUUUCUACCAAAAUCAUGCAAAAUAAAAGGAUAUGUAAAUUAUAAAGUACCAUAAUUGAUAUAAAGUCUAACACGGCCGUCUUCCAACCCCUCUCUCUCUCUCUCGCUCAGACGUAAGUUAUAACCCGCGACAUCUCUCUCUCUCUUUCUCUCUCUCACACACACACACAUAACACCAUUGUCAUCUCGUCCUUGGAGAUUCCAAAAUGGCCGUUAUUUAUCCGAUUACAGAUCAUUAUUAGGAAAAAGAAUAUUGAUAAGCACGGCUAGUCAUGAAAGCGAUACCCCAAAAAUGAAGAUAAUAUACGAAAGUUAUACCACUUGGGCAUGCAAGCAAAGCAUACCCCAUCAGCUCCAGAAAAAAUAUUUUGUGGUAUGAUCGAUAUAGGAUUAUAUAACUCCUGAUUCUGGAUUAGCUACGUAAAAUUACCAACAACAUCAUCAUCAAGAAGUUUGUAUAAACUGCUGAGUGGCAUAAGUUUCAAACUCAUAUGACAACUUGUUCUGAAAGUUGGAAGUUUUAAAUAUGUACUUCGAUUUUAGUAUAUAACUUUUAUUUCAACUACUUCCAGAGGUUGUAGAAGCAUCACUUGGCCAGGCACUGCGAUAAUAUCUUUGAAUGUAUUUCCAACUCCAUCCUUAUUCUUCAAACCCUGGUCAUUCAUGCCUAGUUUAUUGUUUAGCAAGUCUUUAAAUUAAAAUAAAGUACACUAACCCCAUAAGAGAAGAACAAAAUGUAUUGAGAUAAAAACCACCUUUUACUUGAGACAUUUUCUAAAUGGAUGGAUUGGAUUCCCACAUCUUCAAGCAUAAGAAUAUAAUAGACAAUGACACUGCAAAUUGCAAUUCAUUUGCGAUAAAAACAAUACAAGUUGUAGGCAUCUAAAUGAUAGGAUGCAUGGCUAAACAAAAACAUGCCCCAUUUUUGGCAAACAACAUAAAAAAGCACUCCUUUCUCUUUUGCUUAACUCUAGAGUACAAUUCAUUCUCUAUUCUCUACUCUUUCGGAGUACAAGUCUAGAAAGAAAUAUAACCAGUAUAAGGGUCGCACGUAAAAGAAGAAUUCAAAUCGCGUUGCGGGCACAUAUCAGGCCAGUGGUCAUAUGACUUCCCACAGAUUCUACAAUCCAUGAGGAUUGCACGUCCACGGGUAUGGCCGCAUUUGGCACAACAUGAGUCUCUAAACCUACAUCCGCAGACAACACACUGAACCGAACAGCCCUUGCCAAGAAUUGCAUUCUUUGGGACAUCAUACUUGUAGGGGCACAGUUGUGUAAUGUGAUCAUCCACCUUUAAACAAUACCUACAUUCACCUGUGUGCAAUUUGUCGACCCAUUGUUAUAUACAACAAAAGCAAUAAAAAUAAUUACUUAAUUUUUUAAUUUUUUUGGUUAAUGAAGAAGAUAAAUCCCAAAAAUAAGUAUUGUGAGCACAUGACAUAGAAUUAUAACGUAUACAUAGAUAUUAUGUCGUACAACGAAUACAUAGAUAUUAUAUAAUAGGAAGAGAGAAAAAAAAAUAUAUGCAUGGUGAAAUAUAUGUAUAUGCAGUAUGGAUAUUUUUUUUACAUAUAUUAUGUAUAAUCAAAAGCAUACCAAUAGGAUUAGGAAAGAGGAAGGAGGAGGGAGGUGGGAGGGCUAUCUUUUUUUUUUUUUUUACUUCUUUUCAUCUCUAGAAUCAAUAGGCCAACAAGGUUUUGCCUAGUGGAAAAAAUCCUUAAUUUGCAGACUAGUUGUCUCAAGUUCAAAGCCACAGGAUAACUCGGUAGUGUGUGUGAGACACCCACCUCCACCUUGUAGUUUAUACUAUGGCUUGUAUCAUAAAUAAAAAACAUACCGGCGGGUAUAGGAGGGUCCGGGGCCUUCAAAAAGUCAACAUUCGGUGACACGUUGUUAACAAAAUAAGUCAUAAGAUCUUCAAACCUCCUUUGCUCUGCAGUCAUUGGUGGUUUAGACUUGUUUUCUGUUUACAUGCAAUUACAUUGUUAAAUACAAAAGUAAAAAGGAAAAGAAUGGGUGAUAACGUCAAAGAAGUUGGAAGAAUGACAUUGAUCCUAUUAACAAAUAACUAUAUUAUUAAAUAUCGGGUAUUCAUCAUGCACGCACCAAAAUAACUUGACUGAAAAAGAUGAAAGUGAUUCAAAAAUUUGGGAUAAUAUAUACAUCCUCUAAUUACACCAACAAAAGUAAAACAAAAACAGCAGUUUCUUUUUUCCAAAAAAUACAAAGCCCAAUAGUUUACAGAAAAAGCCUUUGGUUCUAAUUAACCUGUUGGAUAUGUGUACAAACAAUCAAAACAAAAUCAGUUAUAGCUUAAUCUAAUGAAUUAGCAAAGGUUUCGACCAACUUCAAUUACUUCCCAAAAAUAAAAGAGACAAAAAUUUUGUUGAGAAAUACGCUUAAUUAAUGGAGCAACGAUCUUCCUCUAAAAGUAUUUUCAAAUCAAAUAGAACUAGGAUAUUGUACGGAACGAAAUUCUACCACAUAAACCAGAAAAACAUACAUACCCCUUGACUUCAAAAUUGAAUUCCAAAGCGACUCAUCGGUGUCAUAGCCGACCCUCUCUUGCGGGGAAAGGUCCUUUCCCCCGCCGCCGUCGUCCUUUGCAGAGCAGUUGUUAUCAAGCGCCAUGUGGGGAUUUUAGGGUUAGGCUUGGCGUAGAGAUGAGAUUGUAAUUACUGAGAUUAAAAAGAUGGGUGCUUGCUUAUAUAGGCGUGGACAGGGCUUUUGUUUUUUGUUUUUUUUCCUUUUCUUUUUAUUUAGACCCCAAUGCACGCAUCUGACGUCUUUAAUAGGCAUAAUGCACGUAUUAAAUGUUUUUAUUCUUUUAUCAUUAUUAUUUUUUCUCUAAAAUUGUAUACAGCAAUUUAAAUGUGUUGUGGUUUGUUUUGUUUCCUGUUUAGCCCUUGUUCUUUUUUUUCUUCCCUUUUUCUUAGUGUCGUAUGGAAGACACCUCUCGGAGGGUUUUGGGAUGCAAAAGAUGUUCCUUAUGUUUGUGAUGUUCAACGUUAUGGAUUGACUUACGUAACCAGAUCAGAAGAGUGCGUUGGAUUUGUGAAUGAAAGCGGCCGUGAAAGGGUUAUGGAAUACUUCCGCGCUUGCAGGCUGGAGAAUAAGGUCCAGAGUUCAAUUGAAUUGUCACAAAAUGUGAUAAGGGGUUUAUUAUGUGCAGCCCUUUUUGAUGAAAAUAGCGGUGGAAACUUGUGUGUGUUUGAGGUUAAAAAAAAAAAUGUUGAAGUGGUAUAUGAUCGAUCGGUUUUGGGAGCGCUUUCUGAAUAUUACAAUGACUUAGUUAGUUAUCUUUUCCACUCAUUGUUCCUUAUCGUGGAAACACAAAGAUACCCGUAUACACAUGAAAAUAAUGUGAGAUUGAACGAUAGAUUCAGAGAAAAACUUCCAAGAUAUAGAGAGAAUGUUGUGGUAAGGCGAGGAGAAAAUUAUGUUGUACGACUCGCACAUUUUGAUAACGCAGAUGAUCAACUAUAUCAGCAGCUGAGAACAGAAAAUCGUGAACGUAAUGUGACUCCUGAAACUGAAGCUGUAAUGGAAGAAUUUGGUCUGGAACAAUUUCAGCAAGAUGCUAUUUGGUUUGGUUUGCCAACAUGGAAGUUGGUGCAAGCUUUAGAUUUGUGGAAGCUUUAGAGGACGCGUAGCACCUUGGGCGUGCACUGCAAGAAUGGUAAUAUUUUGUUUAAACUAGUCAGUGAGAUAACCCAUUUAAUUUAUUUAAUUUGUUUUAAUUUGUUUACGUUUUUCUUUAAUCACCGGACAUGCAGUCCAUUUGGCUGAUUGAGCUUUUCUCAAGGCUUCUAGUAGCGUGUUCGUGUAACAUCAUACUCAUUUGGAAUUGAGAUAAUGCAUAUAUUCUUCUUAGCAUAAAAAGCUUAUUUUAAAUUUUCCUUUGGACCAAGCAAAACGACUUUACGUCGGGUUUUAGUAUGAACCUGUUAUCCGUUGUUGGCACCCUUGCUUACAGUAAUUGUUAUAGCAAUGAUAUAUCUUGGGAAGUCUUAGAUAGGAUCCACAAUAGCAAACAAGCCCUGUUUACACGAGAUAUUAAAGACAGAAAUCAGUUUUCUGCAAAACCGUGUUAAUAGCACUAAAGCACACUAGAAAAUGAACUGGUGGUAUUUAGCAAAGGCAAUAAAUCAUAUAGGAACACUCUUCGGCCAUGGAAUCAGAAUUUUACGAGAUUAUGAAAUACAUCAUACAUGCAACGUAACUGAAUAAUUGGUCAAGAUUGAAAAGCUUUGGCUGUACUGAUGAAUCUAUUAAAGUCAUUCAAUAUUUCGCUUCUUCUUCAUUGAUGCAUGGCAAGAUAAAAUAACAUGACGCUUUUUCUAAAUGAUAAAAUGAACGAGAUUUUAUUAACCACAGAGAAAGUUUUAAUCUCCCCUUGAAGCCCAUGGACAUGAUAUUAUGAUACCAAUGUUUAUCUAGCGGAUCUCAGGGAUACAAAUGAAAUUAGACGUAAGGAUCACACACAUGCUCAUGCUCAUGCACAAAGCCAUUUCUCUUUUUAAAACACAUUACCAACACAAACCUUAAGAAUUACUAUCAUCCCGACUAAAGAAUUCGGCCUUCCUCCAACUCUUCCCUCACAAGCAAAGGUUGAAGCCAAUAAGCUGCCCAGCCUGAACGAAUUUGAAUAAUCCAUGGUUAUACACACAUUAACACAAAAGAGUUUUCAAUGUUCUCGAGGACACAAAUUUUCCUAGGAAAGUUUAAUCGUGAAGCUCUAUUAUCCAACAUACUAAUCAUGUCAAUAUAUAUUUUUAACCCAAAUUAGGCUACCCCCAUUUCUUUUCUAAAUAAACAGAACAAGGAGAAUGCAGGCCCAAUUAGGCUAUCACCAUAUCUUGUAUGCAUGAACAUAACUAACAAAAAAUGAAAUUCGAAACAAGUGAAUUAUUACAUAAACAGCAGAAAACAAAAGCUAGCUCUCAAUAAGCUCACCUCGUCCACUGUUUCAAUUCCUCUCAAUCUAAGUAUCCAACUCUUCUGGCCAGGGUGUCCUCUUCCCUGCACCAGCUCAACUUCUUGAACUGUUUCUCUGCCGGAAAUUUGCUGUCUCAACUCAACCAUCUUUUUCCAGGCUGACCCAAAAAAAAAAAAAAAACAUCAAUUUACCAUCAAAAUAUAUUAUAAUCUUCAAGGACAAACAGCCUCAAAGAAUAACAUUCCAAAUCCAUUUUAAUUUUUACCUUGGAAAACCGCAGUUCAGGAAAUUCAGUGCUGGGUUACAAACGAAUCUCCCUUUCAAGCCCAUGGGCAUUGGAAACAUAGUGAAUCCUGACUCCGUCUCUGCAGUCUCAACAAUCUCUUCAGACAAUCCCUUCAGUGGCUGAAGAUGCAAAACAGACAAUCAAAUAAAUAUAUUAUACAAAGGAUUUUAAAAUCAUCAAAGGGUAUUCCACAUGUGUAUCCAGAAAGACCAAAUCCUCCAAAUGGCAUUUUCAUAAACAUUGCACAGAAUAUUUUGUCACGUAUAUAACAAUUUUUCCAACUAUAUAAUUGCUGGAGGGAACAAAGAAAAGGAAGAAAACAAGCAGUUCUCACUGCCUUGCCUAAACCUACCCCAAGCCCGAUUCCCACUUUCUUUCUUUCAUAAAAUACAAGACUCAACCCCCUGCAACGUGAAGAGGUAAAAACCUAAACAUGCCAUAAAAAAGCUGAAACUUAUUUAUGCUCCAUAUCUUCAGAUUCUAAGAAAAAUGAUACGAGCCAUAAAAAGCUUUACGCACACUCCUGAUCAAAGUCUGUCUGCUUUCAUUAUGUUUCCAGUUUGAUUUUUAUUUUUAUUUUUUUUUGGGUAGAUAGUUUUAAGUUUGAGUUUCAAAUGAAGAGGAAGAGAAUGAGAAUGCAGAGAUGGAGAGAGAAUGCUUUCGGAAAGAAAAUUUAGUUUCCCUUAAAAGACACAAGGAUAACUAACAAUUUUAUUUUUAUUCUUUAUAAGGUUAAGACUCCAUUCAUCUACCCGCCAAAAGUGCUGAAAUCUAAAGGUAUAAUAAAAUGAGUCAUAUUUUGUGUCAAAAUGUGUGUCCCCGGAUCGUGACCCAUAUAUAUAUAUGUAUAUAUAUAUAUAUGAGUUUUUGGCUCAUUGUCUGUAGCAAUGCAUACUAGUGGUAGACAAGCUGAUGGAAUGGAAUGGGCAUAUGAUUUCUGAAUUUUAUCUUGUACUAGCCUCUCCGCACUCGCUUAAUCGGGUUUCGCUCGUGAGACUCACUUGUUCGCUAUAUGAUCUACGCACACUUUCGUAUGUAUGAUCUACUCCUAACACAUGACAAUAAUUCAUCACAUACAAUUCAAGUUCCAAAGGGCACCACUAUCCACAACCAGAUAAAAUGAACAGAUUUCUCCUUAAAAUAUAGCUUAACUUGCAGAAAACGAAAAACAUAGAAAAAAGAAACCACAGAAAAUGCCCAUCAAAGAAAGAAAAAUGGUCGAGAUAUGCCAAUAAAAAAUCCAGGGAAGCAACUAAGGCUGGUCAAGCAUACAAAGAACAAAACACAACAUUUAACAUGAAGCAGCAUGAAUGAAGAAAAAUAAAUGGUUAGAACUUUCCUCUCAGUGCUUAGUUAGAAUAUGUUCAAUGUAGAUUAAGAAGAAAUAGAUAACUAACCAACUUGUACGAACAAUUUGUAGGGCUGUCCAACAAGGAAAAGAGUACAACCAAAGCAAAUGAUAUGGAUACCUUCCAUCUUCAUUCCCAAAAGAGAAACGAAAAUAGAAACGAUAUCCAAUCUCAACAGUGAACGGCUCCACGUAUGGGUGAACCCCAAGCCCAUUAACAGUUGAGAUUGGAUACAACUAUUCAAGCUGCACAACUGAACGUAUAGCAACCAUGAUAGGGGAGUAAACCUGUGAUAUCAUAUAUCAGUAAUGUAUAUCCCCACAAGAGCAUUAAGAUAAAGAAAGGUCGUGAUUUGUGACUUUGAAGGCAACAUAACUGUGUAAACAUAGAAAACAUUAUAAGCAGAUUCCAGUUGCAUGCAUCAGCAUCAUAUGCAAUUUGAACCAGUGGCUAUAAUUACCAUCAAGAAUGGUACAGAGACAUACCAAGGGGUGCGUACGUUUCUUCUCAAUAGGGUACUCAUAUGGGUUAGGGGUUUGCAUGGAGAAUGCAGUAAACCACAGGAUGAAGCCAGACAAAAGAUCGAGCAAUGACUCCAACAUGGAUGUGAUGAUGGCUAAAGAACCACUUCUGAGAGAUGCAUGAACUUUAGCUGCAAAAAGAACCAUAUUUGAUAUUCUGAUGGCACGUGUCUCACUUUUUGCCAACUUUUCCUGCUCUUCCUGCAACAUAAGUUGUUAUCUAUCAGUUUAAAAGUGAUUUGAGUGUACUGAUAUUGUUUACAGAGACAGAGAACAUGAUGCAAUAUAAAUCCUUUGGCAUUCCAGGAAUAAAACCACCCUCCGCUAAGGCAUCUAUUUCGGUAAAGCCCUCGAGCAUUUCUACCUGUUGUUGGCAGUACUCGGGCACAUUAUCUUCCUGGCCUGAGGCCAUCAAGCAGAACAAUUAACAUGGUACCUGUUGAAGCUCCUCAUAUGCUAAUUGCAUAAAGAAUAAUUAACAUUUGCAUAUAUUCCCUUUGUCCCUUUCACCCUUCACAUAGAGGAUGAAAAUAUGAAACCCUGUUUCACCCUUUACACAGACGAUGAAACUAUAAACUAAUACAGUAAAUACUCAUACUCCAACCACAACCAGAAAAUGAGAUAUUUAUCAGAUCGUCAAAGUCAACUCGAUGAUACGGAAAAAAAAAAAAAAAAAGUUGCAAGUGAACUUACACUCUGACAGUCAAUCCUGGAGAUCAUUCAAUACAGGGGGCAGCACAAGUAAGGAACCCAACAAUCCUACAGGGUCCCUUCCAUUAAGAAAACUAAAGACACUGCAUAACACAGAGCACAUUAAAAACCCAUAAACUAUAAACAAAAUGUUUCUAAUUCACCAGGACUCUCCCACAAAUGUUUUUAAUUCACCUCCACUUUAAGCUUUUCGAUUACAUUUUUAAUAUGGCAAAUUGUAUCCUCCACACCCUUUGGAAUCGCAAAUAUAUUCAUAUGUAAGAAAAAGAAAAAUUAAAAUCUCACCACCAAAAUGAAUCCAACUUGUUUAAUUCAUUAACAAAAACAAAACAAAACAAAAAGUGAGCUAACAAAACACGAAAAAUUCUGGGAGACCAAAGCACGCAACAGAAUAUUGGCAUUUGAGUUGAGACCACAAAAAAGAAAAAACAAAGACCAUCACAACAAAUAUAUCAUUCCUUUAACAAUGAAGGUGAAGAUGCGAAAUUACCUAAAACUCCCCAGGCAGUCAUGGAGGCCACGGGGAAGUCUUUUCUCCCUGUGCUCUUUGAGGACACCUGGAAACCUUCGAAGUUAAAUCGCCAUGACCCGUCAACAUUGCCCGACUCUCUCCUCGUCGUAGUCUGGCGUCACCGGCUCCACCAAUUCCUGGUUGCUGGGAGAGUGAGAGACAAGGAAACUAGGGGGAGAGAAGUAGUGUCGGAUGAGCAGCGGAGCAUUGAGGGUAGGAACUGAAAAUUUGAAGAGACUCGGAGGGCUUUUUGGGGAUAUACAGAAUCGCUUUCUAGGACUCUGUUGUGGAGCGCAAAGCGCCAAGACUAUAAUGAGUGGAAAGUUAUAAGGGGUAAGUUAUAAGGGGUUCACUUUAUAGCCAUCAGAUUAAUUCAAGGGCUGGGGAGAAUUGAGUUAAAGUUUCACAAUUGGGUAGGUAAGGAACCCAAACCCGAAUUGAAUAUCCAGCACGUCCAAAAAGAAGAAGAAGAGGGAAACACGUUCGAAAAAGAAGAAGAAGAGGCAAGUUCGAAGUUUGAACAGAAAGAACUCAUCUCUCUAAAACACAGAGGUCUGAGAUACCCAAUGAAGGCAACGGCUAACGACAGUUGAAGGCAACGAUUCGCCACUCCGUUCUCCAGACCCCGAGAAAGUAUUUAUUUGGAGUAGAAGGGGCAAAGGUGUGGAUUCCAAAUCAGUGAAGAGGCGAAGCAGUGGAAGGGGAAGGGGAGAAGCUGUAUUCGUUGGAAGUGGUAGGUUCCAUUUGUGGAGCAAAGAAACAGAAAGACCCCACACAGACACCUUGCAAUAACCAGCAUUUGGUGAGUAAUUUAUGGAAUUUGAGUUUAGGGUUAGAGUAAUGGUUUUCCCCAAUUUGUACCAUAAAUUUUGUUGGAUUUGGCAUCUCUUCGUUGUGCUUCAGUUGCAUGUUAAUUUUUGCUUAGGUAUAUGUUAAAAAAAGAAUGAAAAUCAAGUCAAUAACAAGUGAAUAACAUGUCAAUAAUGAUAUGAAUAAGAUAAUGGUGUUGAAUUGGAGGAGGCCCUCAAAACCUUCCACAUUUGAAGCAGUGCAUAGUGCAGAUUAAGAAGAGGCGCUAGAAUAUAUAUAUAUAUUUUUUAUGAAGUAAAUAUGAUUUCCUUUGUUACUAAAUUUGCCUGAGAAACAUUUGAACAGAUAAUAAUAAACUCAUGAAUAGAACUGCAAAGCAUUUGAUGAGUAAUGUAAGGAAUUUGAGUUUAGGGUUAGAGUAAUGGUUUUCCCCAAUUUGUACCAUCAAUGUUGUUGGAUUUGGCAUCUCUUAUUUGUGCUUCAAUUGCAUGUUAAUUUUUGCUUGGGUAUAUGUUAAAAAACGAAUGAAAAUAAAGUCAAUCACAUGUCAAUAACAUCUCAAAACCUUCCACAUUUGAAGCAGUGCAGAGUGAAGAGUACCUCUCUGGCACUAGAAUUUAUAUAUUUUGUGAAAUAAAUAUUAUUUCAUUUGUUACUAAAUUUGCCUAUGAGAAAUGAGAACAGAUAAUAAUAAACUCAUGAAUAAAAGUGCAAAGCAUUUGAAAUGAAGGUUGAUCUAUGACGAUUGUGGGUGACUGAAGAAAAAGGUAGAAAGAAAGAAGGAUGUGGCAAUUGCUUAGCAAGCAGAUAGCAGAGUACAUGCUUUGCUUUGCUUCCUUCCACUAUAUUUCUUAUUUAUUUAUUUUGGGUUGUGUAUGAGAUGACAAUAAUUGUCAUGUGUGUGAAGUGCAGAACUUGCCUACAUUGCACUCACACGAGUAUGGAUCCAUAAAUAAAACACGUGAAAUUGUUUGUAAUUCACAUAAUCAUUGCAUUAACAGGUAUUUGCACAAAAAUUGUCAUAUUUCUUUGAUGAUGUUAAAGCCUGUGAUGAGUAAUCCCUAUGCUCAUGUACUUUGUAAAAGUUGUAAUGUGCCUGGUUGACUAGUUGUGAUUGUGCAAAUACGUGGUAGUAUAUAUGUUCACGUUAUUUCACAUUGUAUUUGAGGAAAUGGGAUCCAACGUGGAGCUGGUAUGGCCAGAGGCAGAGGUAUAUUCGUCACGGGUGAACAACUGCUCACAUGCAAAUUCAUCUCUAGCUGCAAUUCGAGCGAAGUUGAGUGCGGAACAAUUAGAACAAUUCAAGACAUCAUGCUUUGGCCAUCUUCUGAAUAUAGAUAAGAUUCAGUUUAGCGGACAGAUUGUGCAUGGGGUUGUGUUGCGUAGAGUAGCGGGGCAGGGUGUGAAAGACUUGGAUGGACUGAGUUUCUUAUUAGGGUGUGACGUUGCUCAGUUCACUCGUCAGGAUUUCUGUUUGAUCACAGGGCUUCGUUUUGGGGAAGUGCCUGAAGUUUCCAGUGGAGAGAGUAAUGAAAUCAGACUUCAGAAAAGAUAUUUUAUAGACGAAGGAAUUACAUGCAAUGCUUUAGAAGAAGCAUUUGUGAGGUGCACAGAGGAAGAUGACAUCUACAAGCUAGCUCUUGUUUACUUUGCUGAGUUAGUGGUUUUGGGAAGGGACAGACAUUUGAACAUCAAUCUAAAUUACCUGACCCUUGUAGAGGACUUGGAUGCGUUCAACAGGUAUCCGUGGGGUUCGGUGUCCUUUGACAAAACCCAAGACAGUCUAUUUUCUGCACCAACAAAGUAUGUGAAAAGCUUGGAAAAUGAAGAGGGAAGAGGGAAGGGGAAAAGUAAGGUAACGGGAACAAGCCGGAGAAAUGAGAAGGGCAAGAAGGAUAAGCAUGGUGAAGCGCAAAGGAGUGGCUGGAGUUUUAAAGGUUUCACGUAUGCUUUCCAGGUACAUGGUAAUAAUGUUCAUGUCAGUUAUGUUUUGUUUUUCUUUAAAACAUAAAUAAUGACUUUUGUCCUGUGAAUUGUGUAGAUUUGGGUAUAUGAAUUAAUUCCAAGAAUGGCGGACCUGAAUUACUGCAAGGUUGUUGAUCCGACUGCUGUCCCGCGUAUUUUGCGAUGGAGAACUACUACGUCUGUUCCAGAGAUGAGAAAGUUGAACAAUUAUUUUUUCCAGAGCAAAGAGGUUUGGAUUGCAGCCCUUAGAACUAUUGAUAAGAUUGAAUGAAAUUAUGAAGUAGAAUGAUUUAAUAUGACUCUUGUCUGUAUUCUGAAACAGUCAGUUCAGUUGCGGGCGCUAUGUCCAAGUGAAGAGGAAAUGAGACAGCCAUAUUGGAGUUGGCCACAGGAUCGCCCUGCUGUUGUCUCGACAGAGUCAAUUCCUUCUUCAUGUGGUGAUCUUGAUGAGUUGAACAAGGUGGUAAGCUUGUUGAGGUCCGAGUUGUUUCAAGUAAAGUGGGAAAAAGACGUCCUUCACUUAAAGGUCAUACGGAUGGAAAAACUGUUGGACCAAUGUUUAGGUCCUCAGUUUGAGCAGGAAGUAAGGAGGGACCUAGCUUUACUGAAACAGAGGACGAAUCGUUGUGUCGUCUCACAUCUAUUUAAGGGAUAUGGGGAAAUGGAUGACAUUCAAUGGGAUGAAGGGCCAAGUAACAGAAAUGAGGGAGAGGAAAAGGAAGAUGAAGGGAUUGAAGGGGGUGAAGGGCCAAAUAAUAGAAAUGAGGGAGCACAUAAGGAAGAGGAGGGGAUUGACGGAGAGGAAAAGGAAGAGGAGGGGAUUGAAGGAGGUGAAGGGCCAAGUAAUAGAAAUGAGGGAGAGGAAAAGGAAGAGGAGGGGAUUGAAGGGGGUGAAGUGCAAGGAAAACCAAGUGAGGUAGAUGAAGGGCAAAGGAAAAGAAGUGAAGGAGAGCAAGUGCAAGUAAAAAGUAGCAAAGGAGAGGAAGCCCAAAGACAGAGCAGUGAGGGAGAGGAAGUGAAAAGAAAAAGCAGUAAGGGAGAGAAACUGCAAAGGAAAAAAAGGGAGGGCAAGGAAGUGAAAACACAAACAAGUGAGGAAAAGGAAGUGCAAAGAAGAUAAUGAAGUUA